rnacentral:lncRNA from 1 species
AGGAUUCCAAAUUCAGAAAUGAUAAUGCCAUCCCCAAAUCAGUACAUAUACAUUAAAAUGGAGCUAUCAAUAAAUAUAGAAAAUUUUCAGCAACAUGGUAUCAGAGGUUCAUCAAGCAUCACUAGUCCAUGAGCGGCAAUCAUUCUGAUUGAUGAAUCACUGUUUGCACAUGCAUGGUUUAAUUACAUCAACAUCACACCGCAUUCUGCAACUACAUGCAGUAAUAGCGACUGCCAGGACCUUAGAGCUAGGCGAAAGAGAGACCUCAGAUUCAACACUGCAAACAGAACUCCCAGGAUUUAGAAGAUCAUUACAUAAUAAUAAUUCUACUGAUUAACAAUGCAAAGUUUCAUUGUAGACUAAUCUAACGGCUGUAUUGACCAGUUCACAUGAUCAAGACCAUCACCGAUGGUCGAACAGGAAACAGAAUUCAAGGAAAAGGAUUGCCCAUAUUCUUCUCUACAAGGACAGUAGCAUGAAUUUAUUCAGUAAUUCUAUUGUAGGGAGAAACUCAACCUCAGUAGCAAAACAACAUCUACUACUCAAAAUGAUCGAACAAGUUUGAAAUCAUUAUCCAGACAACAUACUACGAAUCUUAUAUUAAAAAGAAUUCUUGAUGCUAGAGAUGCUUCUUCAGGAAUAUCAAUAACUCUCAGCACACAAAACAAUCAUUGCCAGAAUGCUACGACUGGAAUCCACUUUGACAAUUAGGAAAAAUUCUAAUGUUCCAUGCAGUGGAUGUCACAUCACGACAGAAUAAGCAUCUUUGAACCUUCAAUAAUCCAACAAACAGAGAAGGUAACAAACCAUGAUCAAUGAUUUGGCCUGACUUGAAGCUUAGUUUGGGCAGCAUUUUAAUGCAACAGUUUAAUUUUUAUGUGUUGCCAUUUCAAAGUUGAAAGAUUCUGCAGAUUGAGAUAAAAACUAACCUUUUCACUUUGGAGAAAGAGUGUUAGGCAGACAGAUAAAAGAAAUGGAAGAAAAUUCUAGAUGCAAAAAACUAGCCAAGAUGGCAAAGAAAGAUCAUAUGGCUAACAAAUUGCCUUGACACAGGGACUUCCCUGAAAGAGUAAGAAGAAUACGUUGGCAUAGUUAUAGCAAAUUAUGAGUGCUGCAGCUAUCCAGAAUCACACAAAACAGCAAGACUUGAUAGUAUGCCUGACAGAAAUUUUGUUCUGAAAUUAGUUCCCAUAAGAAGCAAGCUUCAGCUCGGAAAUGUGAGCGAGUGCGAUGGAAUAUCAAAUCAUAGAAUCAACAUGUGCCAAUGAUGGUCCUUUUUAUGUAGGAAUAUCAAAUUGUCAAACUAUGCGGUAAAGCAAUAGAUAAGGGAAGCAUAGGACAUGCAACAAUCAACCAAUAAAUGAGCCUUAGACAUUAAAAAAAAAAACACACUAAGGAAAAUCUUUCAGAUCCAAAAUACUUGCUACCAUGAUUAAAGAAUUUCAGAAGAAGAGUGAGAGAUAGGAGGGCCCAAAUCAUAAUGCGACCAAGAAUCUAAAGUCGAUGCCAACUAAGAAUGAGAUGCUGGAUAGAAUUGAAUGGCAGAAAAACAAGUAUCAAAAGAGAUGGUUGUGUGAUAUACAGUUGUUUGAGAAAUAUUAAUACCACUGUACCGCAAAAAAAAAAAUAAUACCACUUGAAAUAAAAUAAUCAAAACAACAAUAUCCUUUUAUGCAUCCUCAUGAUGCUUGACUACAUAAUUAAAAAUUCCUGCUAUAAGCCAAACAAAGAGACACUGCUGGAGAAUAUUUGGUGGCCCAAAGCGCAGAAUGAAAUUGUAGGUUGAGGUUAACCAAAUAUAUUCUGAGAAAGAAUGUACCUGUGUUAGGGAAAAGAUUAUUGGCAUCAUUAUGGUUUAUAACUGCUACAACAAAUGUAAAAAAUAUACAUAUAUUGAAGACUGAUAUGGUCAUUUCAAACUUGAUGUCGCAAAGAAACUUAGGCAAUGUCAAUGAUUUAUCUAUUAGUUUGGGGUCACUACAUGCCAGGCCAUAUUAUAAGACAGCUGCAAGGCCUUUUAACACACACAUGGACUUGAUGAUAUAGUUGACAUAUCCCAAAUAGUUCAACUUGGCUCUCCUCAUUUUAGCAUACGAUGAUGAAGGAAUACAUAGAAGAUGUAAUAGAAUAUAUUGGUUUUAUUAUUUGGAUGAUGAAUAUAUGACAUGCCUCAAAGAGGAUUUGUUAAGCAAAGAUUAAUAUAGCAGGACAGUCUCUCAAGUGUCACCAGAAACUUGAUAAGGGGAAUUUCUAGCAACUUUGCUACAUAAAUAUGUUUGUCGCGCAGAGAAUAGGAGGCCAAAGUCAGAAGCACAGGAUGUAAGAUGAAAAGUAAAUACUCGAAGGUGGUUGGGGUAAAUUUUGAAAGUCAAAUUAAAAAAAGAGCAUUAAGCAAAGCUCAAGUGUACCUAAUGAUAUAUGAUGGUGACUUAUCAUUAGCUUCUCAACAUGAUUAAAGGAAAGGCAAACAAGAUUUGCUAUAACACCAAAUUGAUCAAUGCUUGUGAGGAAGGCAUCAAGAGGUUCAACCACGAAGCAAAUUUACAACUAAAAGAUCCUUACAUUUCUUUGUCCUUGGAAAAAUAGAGAUCAUUCAUCAUAAAAAGGGGCCCUUUAAAUGGUAGGGAUCUAAAUAGGGUUCGUCGAACCGUGUUGAACUGUACCGAUGGCCAACCGGGAUGGUUCCACCAUUCGAAAUGAAAGACUGCGAGGAGGGGAGGGAGAAGGAAAGAGAGGGAGGGAGGGAGGGAGGGAGAACCUUCGGAGGCCCUCGAUGGCUCGCCAAAGCCAACGGAUGGCCGUUGUGUCUACUAGAGGGCCAGCGAGGAGGGGGGAGGGAGAAGGAAAGAGAAAGAGAGAGAGAGAGAGGGAGGGGGAGGAGGGAAGGAGAGGGAAGAGAGAGAGAGAGCCUCCAGAGGCCUGCCACAGCCUCUGGAGUGCCGAGGCUCUAAUCAAAAUAGGGGCAUCCGUCCUUUAAUCCUCAUCCUUUUUUUUUCACGAUAUCAGGUGAAGUCGGCAAUACUGCUGUUUUGAUCGAAAGCCUCAGCCCUCCAAAGACCUCAACGGACACCCGGAGGCUCCCCCUCCCUCUCCCCUCUCCUUCCCCCAUCUCUCUCCUUUCCUCUCUUUUCUUCUCCUUCCCCCCUCCUCACUGGCCCUCCAGUACAUGCAACAGUCCUCCAAAGGCCUUUGGAGGCUCUCUCUCCCUCUCCUCUCCUUCCCUCCCCCUCAUCUCUCUUUUCCUCUCUUUCCUUCUCUUUUCACCUCUCUCUAUGUCAGUUUGGGCCUGGUAUGGAAUGGUGCAGGGGUGUACUGAACAGUACCACUAGCCAAUUGGUCCGGACUUCGGUACUGGCAUAGCAAACUUGGGAUCUAAAUAAUAAUAUAAAUAGAGAUAAGAUCAUAAGGGAUCACACCAAGAGAAGACUCAUUGAUUAAUAAAGCUGUACUAGUUUGAAUCCAUAAGAAAACUCUUUCACCCUUAUCCCUAUCUCAGAUAAUUUACAUUUUCAAGCUCAUGCCUCUGCAAUAGAAAAGCCUAGUUUUACAUAACUCUUUCAUUAUCUUGCUCUUUAUUAGCAUUCAUUUCCUAACACUUUCAAGAGCCAAGCCUCCUUAAAUGACAAGACAUCAUUGUCCGCAAGACAAGCAUGACUGGUGAUGCCAUAUAUAGUGCAAACUUCAGUAGACUUAUGAAACUCAAUAUUCCUACGGGUCUCUAAUUUGAGCCAUCAAGGUCAAAAAUAUCUUCCUUGAAGAAAACUAGCUCAAAUUAUUCAAAAAUCGAUCCAGCUAUUCAUAAAGACAUUGAGGGAUCUGGAUUAGUUUUAGACUAUUGAUGCAACAAGCCUUCAGCUCCUUGUCUUCUAUAAUCCAAAAAGGAUCCUUUUCCUCAACUUGCAUAAAACAACCUCUAAAGGCACUCCAGCCUACCUAAGUUUUCCUUAGAAAAUAAUCUUCCCUCAUUGCAUUCAUUUCAACUAUAGGUCAUUAAGUUCUAGAUCAAAAGUUUCAAUGCGGCAUAUCACAUGGAUGCACAUGACAAUUUUUAGCAUGGAGAGACCAUUUUUUGCCCACUCGUUUGAGAGAAAUUCCUCUGUAUUGUAUUAGUUCAGCAAGGAAACUAAUAAAAUUUAUAAGGAGCUAAGCAGCUUAUCACAAACUCAAUCCAUGCAUGCACAUAGCAUAAGGUUGAACUUAGACUAAAGCCACCAUUUAUCUUACCCAAAAAAAAGGACAAGGAGACUCCUUGAGCAAAAAGAGAUGAUUUAUGCAUUACAGUUGAUUCAAAGAUCCCUUUCCAAAUAUCCUAGUUAGUAAAAACAUCAUAUCAAAACCUAAAAUUUGAAAUUUUCAUAGUACUUGCAGAUAACAUUCUCCAAAGAAUAUUACCAGCUAGGCCCACUCAAAAGCCACUGACCAAGACUGAAGAACAAAAAUCACAAUCUCUAACUACAUAUGACCAAGGUUCGUCGUCUCGGUACCGAAUCCCAUACUGGUACCAUCCUAUUAUAGUAUCAGUACGUGGUUUGGUACGGUACAGUAGUAUCGGAAUGGAGAGGUAUAGCAUACUGAUAUGGUACCGUAUGCUCGCACGGGGUGGUAUGAGGUGGUAUGGCAAGCCAUGCAUAUGACUUCUAGAUAGAUCCCAGUAUGUCAAAUUUAUCACUGUUCUACACUUGUUACUGAAAUGAUGAAAUCUCAUGAGAAACUCCUCAUCGCUUCAUUUCCAUUCUCCACUCCCAUAGGGAUACAAAAAACAGGGUAGACGAUAAAAAAUAGUUGGAUUAGAGAAUUAUGGCAAUCACCAAUUUCAAAUAAAUAGUAUUGUUCUCUUGUAAAAAGGGCUAAUUUGGGUGAAUGACAGAGAACUGCAGUGUUCACAAUAUUUCAUGCAUGUUACUGUCAAAGUGUUUAUCAUAUAUGUAAAUCUCUUUGAGAAAUGAUUUUAAAAGAUUUAGCUUUAAGCAAGCAUUUUCAAAGAAACAUGAGACUACUGACUGAGGCCUAAUACCUUCUCUGACAAUUAAAACAAGGAAUCUUAGUGUCAUGCAAGAUGCAAGCAAUUGAUCUCACAACCAAAUUUAUUCUCCUCCAACGACAGCCAAGAUGGUACUGAACACCUUGCCCACAAGAAGAAAAAGGAGUUAUGAGAGAAGAAACUUCCUGUUAUGGGCCUUGACUAGCUACAAAGAACCCACAGGUAUUUCUAAUUCAAAACAAAAACUUCACUGAGCAGAAGCAACUAACCAUGAGAUGACCACAAAUUUUAGGAAAGCAGGGUUUUGCCGUGGCAUAUUUUUAACUUGCAAGCUUUAUUUGGUUUGCAAGGGUUCAGCUUUACAAACAUGAGAAUGGUUCAUGACCUUCUUCAACCUGACAUCAACCCAUCAUUGGUGUUGAUUUCCUGGUCAAAGCAAACUUAGGGAAUAACAGGGGCUUGUCAUGAAACGUGGAAAGCCAACAUGCUUGCAAAGAAAGAACAAAGAAUAAUCAUCCAGGACUUCCCUGAACUUGGAAAAGACUGCAGACACAACAAGAGGAAACAUUUGCAAAGAAGCAAAGUGUUUUCCAAGGCAUAAGUACCAGCUGAAAAGCCAAGUUACAGCAUUGUCCCAUUGUCAAUUAAUUAUCUAGUAAUAACAAAAUUUCAGGCAUCUUAAUCCAGCGUUGACAAAUGGAGAAAAUCAUUGACAUGAUAUAUUAGUGAAGUAUAGUUAUUGUUCCUGAUGUCCUUAGAAGGUUUAUAUGCUACAGCUGAACUAUCAUGUAUCCUAGAGAAAAAAUAAAUGACUUUUCCUAAGCCAAUCUCCCUUCUUGUUGUGACUUUCUGUUUUAAAUUUUCAUUAAUAGGAAGUAAACAUCACAAGUUAAUCUGCUGAAAACAAAAAUAUGAUUAGCUCUACACUCAAAAUGUCAACUAAUGCAUUCUCAACUAGAAAAUGCCACUUGUACUGCCUGGUUUUGUUUAGGAUCAUAUGUAGGUAUCUUCCUAUCAAAAGUUACCACCAACCAAAAAUAAAACUUAUAAAGGUCAUAUAUACCUGCAUUUUCUUGCAAGGAUGAUUGUAGCACAGAGGAAGAAACUGAAAAAAUUAACCUGAAUAAAGGAAAUUCAUCCUGAGAGAGACUACAGUAUAGUGUUUUCCUAACAAUGAAUAACCAUUAUAUAUCUAGAGGUUAAAUCUCUAAAUCUCUACUAAGCGGCUAGAUGCACUCAACCCCCUUCAGAUUCCAGGCACACAACAGAGACCUUUGAGAACUCUGUCUAUACUUAUAAGCAGCAAGAGAUCCACAAAAGCGCCCAGUUUUUCCAACACAACUAGUGCAAAAGAACCAUAUGAAGCUGCUUGAGCUCUUUAAAAUAGAAACCAGACGGCUAUAAAUAUUAAAUACACAAAAAGAACUCAUCCCAUGCCACCAAAUCGUGAGUCCCCUGAUACACCACACUCUCCCCAAAGAAUUCACAUAUAACAUCUCCAGGUAACCCAUCAACAAAACUAGAAUCGUGAAAGAACGUAUGGGAGCAACAGCAAGGGUAGGUUGAACCAAAACAAGGAUACCCACCACCAAAUACUACUACUUUUUUCAGGAUGUUAACUCUAUCUCUAUCCAGUUCUCCACCAACUGCUUAGCCUUUUGCUUAUACAUGGUGGCAUCCAGAGUUACUGUCCACUAACAUUUAUCUUCCUUCUUCCAACUAAACACACAAUGAGGCCUGAGUAUUUCUAUUUUGUACAAAACUGACACAAAGUGGAGCAGCACAAGCAUGGUAUACAUUGCAUAAAGAAAGAAUAGUUCGCCAAGGAUGAUUGUAUCAUUCACAAAUACAAUUAAGAAAUAGGUUUACAUUCUUCAUGCCUGAUGCAACGUAAGCCAAGAGGAAGUGAAAGAACCAUCCAACUGAUCUCUGCACUAAAAAUCUGAACUCCACUACAGCCAUAAUAUGAUGAAAAAGCUACUAAUGAAGUUCAACAUAUGCCAUUACAAAGUUAAUUUUAAUGAAGAAUGCAAGUUCCCUUGCUAAUGCAUAAAUCUUAGACGCACCAAAACAAAGUGAGGAAGUAAAAGAAUCAUAUCACCCCACAUUUUUGUCAUAUGACCAUCAUAGAAAAUAAUUACCUACGAUGAUAAAACUCACAUUCAUUAGUUAGAGCAAUAUAUUAUCAUGCAUAUUAAAGGGAUGUAUAAAAAAUAAAGCGCGACUGAUUGUCAUGAUAAGCACUAAGGACCAGAUAAAGCUCUAACAUAGAUCCACUUGCGAUCUCCUAAGAGAUGGCCAACUAGUAUCAAGGCCAGCAAAUCAGUAUCAAAAUUAUUUACCAAUGCCUGAGUAUUAAUGAUGCUGCCAGAAACAUUUGUCAACGAGAAUGUUCAUGAGGAGGAAAAAAUAUCAGUAGGAGGAGGAUAUGACCAAUUUGGACAAAAAGUACGAAAGGAAUUUUUGCUUUAAAAAACAAAAAAGAGAAUCUUUUAUUUAUUAAAACAACAAAGAAGGAUUUGAUGCUGCAACAAUGCCAAACUGGUACCCCAAAAAUAAAAAGUCAAGAACAACGAUCUGCCCAAAAAAAAUAUUACAAAUCUCUGAGUGUCCUAUAAUGCUGCCAUAAAUAUUUGUCAGCAAGAAUGAUAAAGACAUGGGAAAAGAAUAUCAGCAUAAGUAGAAUAUAAGUAGUUUGGACAAAAAUUCUGAAAAAGUUGUUUACGAAAAAAAAAGGAAAAAAAAUCAAAAGAAGAGAAUCUUUUAUUCAGUAAAACAACGAAGAAAGAAUUGAUGCUACAGUGAUGCUUACAUUAAAAAUCACAUCAAACAACAAAAGUUUCGACAAUAAUUCUCAUGACGCAGAUGAGAAUCCAAAAAUUCCCAUAAUCAUUAUAGAAAGAUGUCAUGCAUCGCCCCACUUUAUUUUUGAAUUUGAAUAAACAACUUAACUAAUUUACACAUACAAGCAUUUCCGAAACAGAGAGGGAACUUAAAAAAUAAAGAUAAAAAUCCCGGGCAAAUCAAGAACUCAAACAAACAACAUCCAGUCAUAUCUAGGAAAAACAUCAAAAGCCCAAGCCAAGAUUUACUAAACAAGCAAAAACCAAUCCUUUACUACCAUAAUUAGCAAAUAAAUAAGCAUAUAACAGAAUUAAACAACACCCAUAAAUAUCACCAAACAAAACCGAUUCGAUCACCUACACAAAUCCACCAUGAUAAGUCAACAACCAAAAAAUCCCAGCCCAAAAUUUUUUCCAAAUUUCCAACCCAAAACCCUGCACAUUAAAUGCGAAGUACAAAUUAUAUAAUUUAAUAAUUAUAAAGAACAGAAAAAAAAAACGUGUAUAUCCAACGGAAAUUACAUAACAUAUAUGAAAGAAGAAAUAUAGAGUUAAAGAAAGAAAAGAAAGAAAAGAAAAAAAAAAAGGAGAGAAGGCGAUACAUCAUCACGGACCGUUAAUAUUUAUGUAAACCGCGCGAGGGUACACCAAGCUUCGGUGUAUCGUAGUCUCCUCCCCAAUGGAAGCAGCGCCGCGCGUGGUUCCUCUGUCUGCAAUGCCUGGCUCCAUCCUGUGUGCCUUCCUUCUACCGCUACACCAUGUAUAGCGCCCGUACAUUACCGAAAUGCCCUCCGGCGUCAGCGAGGACUGGCCGGAGGGGAGGGGGCAGUAUGGUCAUUGGGGGGGAUCGAGCCCGGGGCCAUCGGAGAGGAGAGGAGAGAUCUCUCUCUAGCUAUGUGGAGGGGAAGUGUGGCGUGGUAUUGGGUUUUAUAGGAUGGAGGGACUCGGUUUUUUUUUUUU